rnacentral:rRNA from 1 species
UACGAAGGGGGCUAGCGUUGUUCGGAAUUACUGGGCGUAAAGCGUGCGCAGGCGGCUUCUCAAGUCAGGGGUGAAAGCCCAGAGCUCAACUCUGGAAUUGCCUUUGAGACUGAGUGGCUUGAGUACGAGAGAGGUGAGUGGAAUUCCCAGUGUAGAGGUGAAAUUCGUAGAUAUUGGGAAGAAACACCGGUGGCGAAGGCGGCUCACUGGCUCGUAACUGACGCUGAGGCGGCGAAAAGCGUGGGGAGCAAACAGG